UGAAUAGGCUUCUGUAUAUAUCUGUGUGC
rnacentral:piRNA from 1 species